rnacentral:lncRNA from 1 species
UACCUUGUCUAAAUAAUACCCUAAUCCAGCCGGUGUAACACCACCUUAUCUCCACCACCCACCGGCGGCAGCGGCGUAACUCCAUUGGCCUCCAAAAUUUUACCCCGGAAUCCCCUCACUCCCAUCCUUCCAACCCUCCUAAGAUCGCCUCUCAAAACUCGCCUAAACGCGUCGAAUAUCCAUCUGAAGUGGAAGCUCCGCCGUCCACGGCGGCGUCCGGUGGGGAAUAGCUUCCAAAAUAACACCAUACACUCUUCUCGCUCCCCUCUUUCCAACCCCAUUAUCAGGCACCCUCGAAUAUGGCCCCAACUCCUCGAGUAUCCAUUGGAACUGGGCAGCUCCUUCAUGCACGACGGUGACCAGGCUCCUAUAGCCUCCAAAUCACCACCACCCGCCCCUCUGGCCCUCCUCUACCCAAAAACACACCCAGUUCCUUUCAAAUAACUCCCAGACCUCUCCAAUUUCGAAACCAGCCUGACCUAGUUUUCAGUUCGACCCUUAAAGACCGUUUGGGUUUCGAAACGGAGUCACACGUUUGUUUUGGCCCAAAAACAAACCGGUGAAUCUGCUUGGAGGCUCAAAUUGAAUUCAACUGGGUUUAAUUGAAGUGCAACCAGUAAG